ACGAACGCUGGCGGCAUGCCUAACACAUGCAAGUCGAACGAGACCUUCGGGUCUAGUGGCGCACGGGUGCGUCACGCGUGGGAACCUGCCCUUAGGUUCGGAAUAACUCCCCGAAAGGGGUGCUAAUACCGGAUAAUGUCUUCGGACCAAAGAUUUAUCGCCUGUGGAUGGGCCCGCGUUGGAUUAGCUAGUUGGUAGGGUAAAAGCCUACCAAGGCGACGAUCCAUAGCUGGUCUGAGAGGAUGAUCAGCCACACUGGGACUGGGACACGGCCCCGACGGCUGGGAGCGGCGGCGAUGAGUGAUCAUGGGGUGUGGGCCUGAGGCUGAACCAGCGAGGGCGCGUGGAUGGUGAUGGGGUUGGAGUUGUAAUGCGCUUUUGCCCAAGAUGUUUGUGACGGUACCGGGUAAAUAAGCACCGGCUAACUCCGUG
rnacentral:rRNA from 1 species